AUUGAACGCUGGCGGCAUGCUUUACACAUGCAAGUCGAGCGGCAGCGCGGGCUUCGGCCUGGCGGCGAGUGGCGAACGGGUGAGUAAUGCAUCGGAACGUGCCCAGUAGUUGGGGAUAGCCCGGCGAAAGCCGGAUUAAUACCGCAUACGACCUGAGGGUGAAAGCGAGGGACCGAAAGGCCUCGCGCUAUUUGAGCGGCCGAUGUCGGAUUAGCUAGUUGGUGGGGUAAAGGCUUACCAAGGCGACGAUCCGUAGCUGGUCUGAGAGGACGACCAGCCACACUGGGACUGAGACACGGCCCAGACUCCUACGGGAGGCAGCAGUGGGGAAUUUUGGACAAUGGGGGCAACCCUGAUCCAGCCAUGCCGCGUGCGGGAAGAAGGCCUUCGGGUUGUAAACCGCUUUUGUUCGGGAAGAAAUCCUCUGGGCUAAUACCCCGGGGGGAUGACGGUACCGGAAGAAUAAGCACCGGCUAACUACGUG
rnacentral:rRNA from 1 species